GGGGGUGUGGCUUAGUGGUUAGAACAGUGGACUACAAUUCCGGAGGGCUGGGUCCUAGUCCCAGCUUUGCCA
rnacentral:tRNA from 1 species